rnacentral:rRNA from 1 species
UACGUAGGGCGCAAGCGUUGUCCGGAUUUAUUGGGCGUAAAGAGCUCGUAGGCGGUUUGUCGCGUCGGAUGUGAAAACCCGGACUCAACUCCGGGCCUGCAUUCGAUACGGGCAGACUUGAGUACUGCAGGGGAGACUGGAAUUCCUGGUGUAGCGGUGGAAUGCGCAGAUAUCAGGAGGAACACCGGUGGCGAAGGCGGGUCUCUGGGCAGAAACUGACGCUGAGGAGCGAAAGCGUGGGGAGCGAACAGG